rnacentral:lncRNA from 1 species
AGUGAUCAAAUGUGGUGGUCACCGCAUAUCCUCUGGAAGAUCCCAUCUUGUUCCUACAAACCCAUAACAGAAGGGUAAGCAUAUUCUUAUUUCUGGUUUCCCCAUCUUUUUUUUAUAAUUUAUAAAUACCUAAAACGCUCUCAUUUAAAACCCUAGCUAAUUAGUCAUCAAGUUAACACUUGAUCCAAGAGAAGAAAAAUAGUGUCUACAAUAUGAUCGCAAGAUCUGUCAUGGAGCUCAGGUCAGUGAGCUACGGUGGUGGUUGGUGGCUCCGGCCGCCAAUGACAACAUACUUAGUGUAAUACCAAAAGUGAGGUUCGGAACGGAUAGUGCGUACGCAACCCUUAUCUUGUGUGAGGUAGUCAGGAAUCAUAUCAAUGGAGGAAAAUGAGAUUAACAGUUGAUUCUUGAAGAAAGAUUAUGAUGACUAUUUCAUAAUUUUUCGCAGGGCAACUUCAAUCCUUUGGCAAUAUUUCAAGUUUCUUUUCCCUUGCUUCUCUUCAUCAUAUGCAGCGUGAAGGAAGCAAAGAUGGAUUAGUUCCUUGUUUUGAUAAUUAGUUAUUAGUCAGUCUGUUUUAGCUAGUAAUUGUAUCCUUGGACCUUAGGCUUUCUAUUUUAGUUUUUGUUAUUAUCAUAAUCAAAGAUAUAUAGCAUUAUAUGUUUAGUGCUAUAUAGUUUCAUGCUUUCAAGCAUAUUGCAUUUAGUACGUAAUUUGUAGUCAGGUACAUGUACCAGCUAAUUACUUGACAAUGUAAUUGCCUUUUCCCAAUAAUUGAUGAUUUCAAUUAAGUG